AUUGAACGCUAGCGGGAUGCCUUACACAUGCAAGUCGAACGAGGGGCGGAGGGGUGAGUAAUAUAUCGGAAUGUGCCCAGUAGCGGGGGAUAACUACUAGAAAGAGUGGCUAAUCCCGUAAACUAUUGGAUCGGCCGAUAUGGGAUUAGCUAGUUGGUGGGGUAAAGGCUCACCAAGGCAACGAUCCGUAGCUGGUUUGAGAGGACGACCAGCCACACUGGGACUGAGACACGGCCCAGACUCCUACGGGAGGCAGCAGUGGGGAAUUUUGGACAAUGGGCGAAACCCUGAUCCAGCCAUCCCGCGUGUAUGAGAAGGCCUUCGGGUUGUAAAGUACUUUUGGCAGAGAAGCGGUAUCUGCAGAAUAAGCACCGGCUAACUACGUGCCAGCAGCCGCGGUAAUUC
rnacentral:rRNA from 1 species